rnacentral:rRNA from 1 species
CCUACGGGUGGCAGCAGUGGGGAAUAUUGCACAAUGGGGGGAACCCUGAUGCAGCGACGCCGCGUGAGAGAGGAAGUAUUUCGGUAUGUAAAGCUCUAGCAGCAGGGACGAAAAAAGACGGGACCGGACGAAGAAGCCCCGGCUAACUACGUGCCAGCAGGCGCGGGAAUACGGAGGGGGCAAGCGUUAACCGGAUUUACGGGGUGUAAAGGGAGCGGAGACGGCAAGGCAAGCCAGAAGGGAAAGGGCAGGGCUCAACCCUGUACAUGCUUUUGGAACUGUGGUGCGAGCGUGCAGGAGAGGUCAGUGGAUUUCCUAGUGUAGCGGUGAUAUGCGUCGAUAUUAGG